ACGUAGGGAAGGCAGCGGAGUGUAAUCCAAUCAAUGGGGCCAAGCGUGAUGUCGCCAUGCCGGGAAGUGAUAUGGCGUUAGUAAAGUAAUGUGUUAGAGAAGAGAAAAUGACGGUACUCAGAGAGCCCGUGGCC
rnacentral:rRNA from 1 species